rnacentral:rRNA from 1 species
UACGUAGGGGGCAAGCGUUGUCCGGAAUCACUGGGCGUAAAGGGCGCGUAGGCGGUAUAUUAAGUCAGGUGUGAAAGUUUUCGGCUCAACCGGAAAAGUGCACUUGAAACUAAUAGACUUGAGUACUGGAGAGGUAAGCGGAAUUCCUAGUGUAGCGGUGAAAUGCGUAGAUAUUAGGAGGAACACCGGUGGCGAAGGCGGCUUACUGGACAGAGACUGACGCUGAGGCGCGAAAGCGUGGGGAGCAAACAGGAUUAGAUACCCUGGUAGUCCACGCCGUAAACGAUGAGUAUUAGGUGUUGGUGAGAAUCAGUGCCGGAGUUAACACAAUAAAUACUCCGCCUGGGGAGUACGGUCGCAAGACUGAAACUCAAAGGAAUUGACGGGACCCCGCACAAGUAGCGGAGCAUGUGGUUUAAUUCGAAGCAACGCGAAGAACCUUACCAGGUCUUGACAUCCUCUGACAGCGUUAGAGAUAGCGAAUUCCUUUCGGGGACAGAGAGACAGGUGGUGCAUGGUU